CCUACACGACUCCCAGAAAGUCGCGUCUCCCCCAACCCCCAUGCCCAGGACCUGAGGACAAAGGUCUAGCGAUUGUCCGUCCCCUCCCCCAGUGAGGACAGCCGAGAAAGACCUGCCUUUGUUGUGUACAGGUGAUAUCUCACUGUGUUAUCCAGACUGGACUCAAAUUUCUGAGCUCCAGUGAUCCUCUUGCCUCAGCCUCCGAAGUAGUCAGGACUACAGUGUUACUGUCCCCAUUUUACAGAUGAAGAAACUGAGGCCCCAGAUCACAGGGCUGGUGAGAAUAACAUGUCGUAUGUCUCCAGAGCUAACAGUUAACUACUAUAGUGUGCCACACAAGGAGAGAGCAGCAGUAGAGAGGGGUGCCAGUUCCUCUGAUGGAGGAUAAAAAAGAAAGAUUGCCAGUAUGGGCAACAUAGUAAGACCCUGUCUCUACAAAAAAUAAAAAUAAAAAAAUUA